CCUACGGGAGGCUGCAGUGGGGAAUAUUGCACAAUGGGGGAAACCCUGAUGCAGCGACGCCGCGUGAGUGAAGAAGUAUUUCGGUAUGUAAAGCUCUAUCAGCAGGGAAGAAAAUGACGGUACCUGACUAAGAAGCCCCGGCUAACUACGUGCCAGCAGCCGCGGUAAUACGUAGGGGGCAAGCGUUAUCCGGAUUUACUGGGUGUAAAGGGAGCGUAGGUGGCAUGGUAAGCCAGAAGUGAAAACCCGGGGCUCAACCCCGCGGAUUGCUUUUGGAACUAUCAGGCUGGAGUGCUGGAGGGGUAAGCGGAAUUCCUAGUGUAGCGGUGAAAUGCGUAGAUAUUAGGAGGAACACCAGUGGCGAAGGCGGCUUGCUGGGCUUUUACUGACGCUGAGGCUCGAAAGCGUGGGGAGCAAACAGGAUUAGAUACCCCGGUAGUC
rnacentral:rRNA from 1 species